rnacentral:rRNA from 1 species
GAUGAACGCUGGCGGCGUGCCUAAUACAUGCAAGUCGAGCGAACGGACGAUAAGCUUGCUUCUCUGCUGUUAGCGGCGGACGGGUGAGUAACACGUGGAUAACCUACCUAUAAGACUGGGAUAACUUCGGGAAACCGGAGCUAAUACCGGAUAAUAUUUUGAACCGCAUGGUUCAAAAGUUAAAGACGGUCUUGCUGUCACUUAUAGAUGGAUCCGCGCUGCAUUAGCUAGUUGGUAAGGUAACGGCUUACCAAGGCAACGAUGCAUAGCCGACCUGAGAGGGUGAUCGGCCACACUGGAACUGAGACACGGGCCAGACUCCUACGGGAGGCAGCAGUAGGGAAUCUUUCGCAAUGGGCGAAAGCCUGACGGAGCAACGCCGCGUGAGUGAUGAAGGUCUUCGGAUCGUAAAACUCUGUUAUUAGGGAAGAACAUAUGUGUAAGUAACUGUGCACAUCUUGACGGUACCUAAUCAGAAAGCCACGGCUAACUACGUG